rnacentral:tRNA from 1 species
UGUAGCUCAGUCGGAUAGAGCGUGGGUUUCCGAAGCCCAAGGCCGUGGGUUCAAUUCCCACCA